GACGAACGCUGGCGGCGUGCUUAACACAUGCAAGUCGAACGGAAAGGCCCUGCUUUUGUGGGGUGCUCGAGUGGCGAACGGGUGAGUAACACGUGAGUAACCUGCCCUUGACUUUGGGAUAACUUCAGGAAACUGGGGCUAAUACCGGAUAGGAGCUCCUGCUGCAUGGUGGGGGUUGGAAAGUUUCGGCGGUUGGGGAUGGACUCGCGGCUUAUCAGCUUGUUGGUGGGGUAGUGGCUUACCAAGGCUUUGACGGGUAGCCGGCCUGAGAGGGUGACCGGCCACAUUGGGACUGAGAGACGGCCCAGACUCCUACGGGAGGCAGCAGUGGGGAAUAUGGCACAAUGGGCGGAAGCCUGAUGCAGCAACGCCGCGGGCGGGAUGACGGCCUUCGGGUUGUAAACCGCUUUCGCCUGUGACGAAGCGUGAGUGACGGUAAUGGGUAAAGAAGCACCGGCUAACUACGUG
rnacentral:rRNA from 1 species